UUUUUACACUUGAUCUCUGAACUGCAGGUAAGUUCAAUGUUGACAUUGAUUAUACGCAUUUAUAUGCG